UGGUCAUUACCAAAGCUUUUAGAAUGCAGUUUCUGAUUUGCUGUGGAGUUGGCCAUAAAAAAAGAAAAGACAUCCCACUAGGUUUUCUAUUUGCUACCUUGGUAGCAUUCGGCCUAUUGGGAACAUUC